ACCUGCAGAAGUUCACACUUAAAUCCUACACGAGAGUCGUAUUUAUGAUGCAGAACUCGGUGCAGAACCCGAUGGAGUGCCCAAGGCGCUUGAGCCGUUCCUAGAAGGGGAAGGAGAGCCGCGGGCGGCAGCGGGGCAGGGGACGGAAUUGGGAAGCUUGGGAGCAGGAAGAAGGCCAGAGCUACUUAGGAUGGAGAAACGGAGGCCCAGGGAAGGGAUGUGCCCGAGGUCAUACAAAGAAGUUUGUGGGAAUCCAGGUCUGACUCGCACUCAAUCUAGUGCUCUAAUAAUGACUUGAGUGAAUUGUAUGAAUGUGCUCAGAGGUGGAGCAGCAAUCAUAAAAGUAAUAAUGGUACCAUUUAUGGACCAUCUAACUACUGUGUUAAAACAAUUUACAGGCCAUGCGCGGUGGCUCACGCUUGUAAUCCCAGCACUUUGGGAGGCCGAGGCGGGCAGAUCACGAAGUCAGAAGAUCGAGACCAUCCUGGCUAACACGGGACUCAAGACUGGAAUGGGAAGAGCAUGAAAUUGAGCUGUCUAUCCCCCUGGAUCUCUCAUUGCCACCUGCCCAUAGGUUGGCUGCACCCCUCCACCAAAGAAAGGCCAUGACUCCUUCCUGGCAGCCCUGUCUUACAGCUACUCUCUGGUGAUCUGGGAACCACUCCCUCCCUUACCCCUUGAUGCCUAGGGCUAGUGCCAGCACCUUGUUGUUGUUAGCCUCAGAGGCACUUGCACUGUUCCUUGAUGGUUUUCCCAAAUCUUGCCCUCAUCUUUGUAAAUACUGUUUGCCGUUUAUUACACUGUCAUCAUAUUACCCAAUUUGAGUGUGUCAUCUAUUUCUUCCAAGACCCUGACUGAUACAGUGGGUAUAUUUGGAGCCAGAAAAAACAAUGACAACAAAACCAUUUGUUUGAGAAUUAGAAUGUGUUAGGAGAGUCCAUAAUCAGAACUGUCUGAGCACAUUUACUGCUGCCUAUGAACGGUUUAGAGGAUGAGGACAGCUGGCAUGGGAUUAAGGUAACCUUGUCCAGAAAGAUUUCAUUCAUUUAGAAAAAAUUUAUUGAAGGCCUACUAUCAUGCACCAAGCACUACUCUAGGUGCUGGGGGAAAAGGACAAAUAAAUCAUGUUCCUUUCCCUCAAGGAGCUCACAAUCUAGUAGCAGGGGACAGAUAUGUAAACAGUUAGUUGCAUAAAGCAUCACAGUGCUGUAGUAGAUGUCUGAGCUAGAGAUAAGAACUUUGGAA
rnacentral:lncRNA from 1 species